rnacentral:rRNA from 1 species
GAUGAACGCUGACAGAAUGCUUAACACAUGCAAGUCAACUUGAAUUUGGGUUUUUAACUUAGGUUUGGGUGGCGGACGGGUGAGUAACGCGUAAAGAACUUGCCUCACAGCUAGGGACAACAUUUGGAAACGAAUGCUAAUACCUAAUAUUAUGAUAAUAGGGCAUCCUAUAAUUAUGAAAGCUAUAAGCACUGUGAGAGAGCUUUGCGUCCCAUUAGCUAGUUGGAGAGGUAACAGCUCACCAAGGCGAUGAUGGGUAGCCGGCCUGAGAGGGUGAACGGCCACAAGGGGACUGAGACACGGCCCUUACUCCUACGGGAGGCAGCAGUGGGGAAUAUUGGACAAUGGACCGAGAGUCUGAUCCAGCAAUUCUGUGUGCACGAUGAAGUUUUUCGGAAUGUAAAGUGCUUUCAGUUGGGAAGAAAAAAAUGACGGUACCAACAGAAGAAGUGACGGCUAAAUACGUGCCAGCAGCCGCGGUAAUACGUAUGUCACGAGCGUUAUCCGGAUUUAUUGGGCGUAAAGCGCGUCUAGGUGGUUAUGUAAGUCUGAUGUGAAAAUGCAGGGCUCAACUCUGUAUUGCGUUGGAAACUGUAUAACUAGAGUACUGGAGAGGUAAGCGGAACUACAAGUGUAGAGGUGAAAUUCGUAGAUAUUUGUAGGAAUGCCGAUGGGGAAGCCAGCUUACUGGACAGAUACUGACGCUAAAGCGCGAAAGCGUGGGUAGCAAACAGG